rnacentral:lncRNA from 1 species
AUCAAUUUCAUUUUAUUCACUUACAAGCACCAGUGACAGGAAGGUGUCUUUUUAAAACAAAGCUUUUAAAAAAAGGCAAGAAAAAAAAGUUUUUGUGUUUUGCUGGAUUUCUGAAUGGACAUAUUGUACAUGAAUUUAAUUUGACAAUAUCAUAACAACCACAAUAAUAGUUAUCUAUCACCACUUUAUUUUCCAUUUUCACAGCACACAUUCAUUGUUCUGAUUUACCUCUUUCCAUGCAUGUGAUGAGAUCUGGAUUAAAAUGAGUCAUGAAGAUGUUCAUUUUCUGUUAAAGUGCCAAUGGAAUAAGAAGGAAAAAAAAAAGGAAAGAAGAAAGAAGGAAGGAAGGAGAGANACCUCUUUCCAUGCAUGUGAUGAGAUCUGGAUUAAAAUGAGUCAUGAAGAUGUUUAUUUUCUGUUAAAGUGCCAAUGGAAUAAGAAGGAAAAAAAAAGGAAAGAAGAAAGAAGGAAGGAAGGAGAGCAGAAAGAGAAAUCAAUUAGUUCACUCAAAAAGGUAGGUAAUCUACUGAAGAAGAACUUGAAGACAGAAGUGAGAUGGAGAACCACUAGACAGAUCCUAAGAAGUUAAGGAAAACUCAUACUUUUAACAAUCAAAUUGAAUUUCAAAUGCACUACAGUACAUCCUAAAGGUGAGUUUAUUAGUGUGAAUUAUUCUAAUGCAAGGUCACUUUGUUUUUUAUGUUUUUAAAUGCUGUUUUUUCUCAAAACAAGUCAAACAUCUACCUUCUUGCCCAGUGCAACUAUUUAUUACCUUCAUACCUUUUCCACUAGUUAAUAUGAGAGAAGACAGAGUAAGAGUAAGAGACAGGAGAGACUGGUAUGCGAUAGGCAUUCAGCUAUCUCAUGAAGAUGAAGAAGGGGAACAAGUGGGAAGUACAAUCUGUGAAUAGACUCAGAAAUCAGAAACUCUGGGGGUGCCUGGGUGACCCAGUUGGUUAAGAAUCUGACUCUUCAAAAAAAGAAUCUGACUCUUGAUUUCAGCUCAGGUUAUGAUCUUGGUUAUAAGGUGCAGCCCCACAUCACACUCCAAGUUCAGUGCAGAGUCUGCUUGUCCCUCUCCCUCUGCUCCUCUCCCUGCUCGUGCGCUCUCUCUCUCAAAUAAAUAAAUAAAUAAAUAAAAUCUUAAGAAAAAA